rnacentral:rRNA from 1 species
GGAUGCGAUCAUACCAGCACUAAGCACCGGAUCCAUCAGAACUCCGCAGUUAAGCGUGCUUGGGCGAGAGUGUACUAGGAUGGUGACCCCUGGAAUCCUCGUGUUGCAUCCC